GAUGAACGCUGGCGGCGUGCCUAAUACAUGCAAGUCGAGCGAACAGACGAGGAGCUUGCUCCACUGACGUUAGCGGCGGACGGGUGAGUAAAACGUGGAUAACCUACAUAUAAGACUGGGAUAACUUCGGGAAACAGGAGCUAAUAUCGGCUAAUAUAUUGAACAGCAUGGUUCAUUAGUGAUAGAAGGUUUUGCUGUCACUUAUAGAUGGAUCCGCGCCGCAUUAGCUAGUUGGUAAGGUAACGGCUUACCAAGGCAACGAUGCGUAGCCGACCUGAGAGGGGGAUCGGCCACACUGGAACUGAGACACGGUCCAGACUCCUACGGGAGGCAGCGGUGGGGAAUCGUACGCAAUGGGCGAAAGCCUAACGGAGCAACGCCGCGUGAGUUAUGAAGGGCUUCGGAUCGGAAAACUCUGUUAUUAGGGAAGAACAAAUGUGUAAGUAACUAUUCACGUCUUGACGGUACCUAAUCAGAAAGCCACGGCUAACUACGUG
rnacentral:rRNA from 1 species